UACAGAGGUCCCAAGCGUUGUUCGGAUUCAUUGGGCGUAAAGGGUGUGUAGGUGGCGCCGUAAGUCGGGUGUGAAAUUUCGAGGCUUAACCUCGAAACUGCAUUCGAUACUGGGUGGCUUGAAUCCGGGAGAGGGAUGCGGAAUUCCAGGUGUAGCGGUGAAAUGCGUAGAUAUCUGGAGGAACACCGGUGGCGAAGGCGGCAUCCUGGACCGGCAUUGACGCUGAGGCGCGAAAGCCAGGGGAGCAAACGGG
rnacentral:rRNA from 1 species